GAAAACCCUUGCUUCGGAGCUUAGAGACAAAAACCAGAGUGAGAAAAGCAACUAUAAUCAAAACAACAAUGAUACAAAAGAUUAAAAAAACAUCAAAAUAGAAACUUGGAAGUCUUACCAUGACCUUAUGAAGAAUAUCAGUAGGGAGACGGAAAACCUCAAUUCCAAUCUCAAGCCCAUACCUCAAAAGGAAAAAAAAAAGAAUAACCAGCCUAAAUUAAACAUACAAGACAUCAAAAGCAUCACAAGGUACAAAAGCUAGAAGAAAACAAACCUUAAGAUCUACAAGCGUGUGAACUUGGCUAUAGUUGGUGAAUGGAAUACAAGAGCCAUCUCCAAGAGAGGAAACAACGACAUCUUAACCGAGGCGACAUAGAAGCAAAACCGAUACCUGAAUCCAUUUGCAACUGAAGCGAAAGGAAUCAUCAAUGUAAUGGAGAUA
rnacentral:lncRNA from 1 species